UGGGGAAUAUUGGACAAUGGGCGAAAGCCUGAUCCAGCCAUGCCGCGUGUGUGAAGAAGGUCUUCGGAUUGUAAAGCACUUUAAGUUGGGAGGAAGGGCAGUAAGCGAAUACCUUGCUGUUUUGACGUUACCGACAGAAUAAGCACCGGCUAACUCUGUGCCCGCAGCCGCGGUAAUACAGAGGGUGCAAGCGUUAAUCGGAAUUACUGGGCGUAAAGCGCGCGUAGGUGGUUCGUUAAGUUGAAUGUGAAAGCCCCGGGCUCAACCUGGGAACUGCAUCCAAAACUGGCGAGCUAGAGUAGGGCAGAGGGUGGUGGAAUUUCCUGUGUAGCGGAGAAAUGCGUAGAUAUAGGAAGGAACACCAGUGGCGAAGGCGACCACCUGGGCUCAUACUGACACUGAGGUGCGAAAGCGUGGGGAGCAAACAGG
rnacentral:rRNA from 1 species